UUACGUGCUUAAAAAAUUGAA
rnacentral:piRNA from 1 species